CGGAGGAAAAGAAACCAACAGGGAUUGCCCUAGUAACGGCGAGUGAAGCGGCAACAGCUCAAAUUUGAAAUCUGGCUCCUCUGGGGUCCGAGUUGUAAUUUGUAGAGGGUGCUUUGGCGUUGGCUGUGGUCUAAGUUCCUUGGAACAGGACGUCACAGAGGGUGAGAAUCCCGUACGUGGCCGCCAGCCUCCGCCGUGUAAAGCCCCUUCGAUGAGUCGAGUUGUUUGGGAAUGCAGCUCUAAAUGGGAGGUAAAUUUCUUCUAAAGCUAAAUAUUUGCCAGAGACCGAUAGCGCACAAGUAGAGUGAUCGAAAGAUGAAAAGCACUUUGGAAAGAGAGUCAAAAAGCACGUGAAAUUGUUGAAAGGGAAGCGCUUGCAGCUAGACGUGCCUUGGGUUGAUCAGCCGGACUUUUGCCCGGUGCACUCUUCCUUUGGCAGGCCAGCAUCAGUUUGGGCGGCUGGAUAAAGGUCCGUUAAACGUGACUCCCUUCGGGGAGAGCUUAUAGGGUGGACGACACGCGGCCAGCCCGAACUGAGGUCCGCGCAUCUGCUAGGAUGCUGGCAUAAUAGCUGUAAGCGGCCCGUCUUGAAACACGGACCAAGGAGUCUAACAUCUAUGCGAGUGUUUGGGUGUCAAGCCCGAGCGCGCAAUGAAAGUAAACGGAGGUGGGAACCUUAGGGUGCACCAUCGACCGAUCCUGAUGUCUUCGGAUGGAUUUGAGUAAGAGCAUAGCUGUUGGGACCCGAAAGAUGGUGAACUAUGCCUGAAUAGGGUGAAGCCAGAGGAAACUCUGGUGGAGGCUCGCAGCGGUUCUGACGUGCAAAUCGAUCGUCAAAUUUGGGCAUAGGGGCGAAAGACUAAUCGAACUAUCUAGUAGCUGGUUCCUGC
rnacentral:rRNA from 2 species